GAUGAACGCUGGCGGCGUGCCUAAUACAUGCAAGUCGAGCGAACGGACGAGAAGCUUGCUUUUCUGAUGUUAGCGGCGGACGGGUGAGUAACACGUGGAUAACCUACCUAUAAGACUGGGAUAACUUCGGGAAACCGGAGCUAAUACCGGAUAAUAUUUUGAACCGCAUGGUUCAAAAGUGAAAGACGGUCUUGCUGUCACUUAUAGAUGGAUCCGCGCUGCAUUAGCUAGUUGGUAAGGUAACGGCUUACCAAGGCAACGAUGCAUAGCCGACCUGAGAGGGUGAUCGGCCACACUGGAACUGAGACACGGUCCAGGCUCCUACGGGAGGCAGCAGUAGGGAAUCUUCCGCAGUGGGCGAAAGCCUGACGGAGCAACGCCGCGUGAGUGAUGAAGGUCUUCGGAUCGUAAAACUCUGUUAUUAGGGAAGAACAUAUGUGUAAGUAACUGUGCACAUCUUGACGGUACCUAAUCAGAAAGCCACGGCUAACUACGUG
rnacentral:rRNA from 1 species